CCUACGGGAGGCAGCAGUGAGGAAUAUUGGUCAAUGGGCGCAAGCCUGAACCAGCCAAGUCGCGUGAGGGAAGACGGUCCUAUGGAUUGUAAACCUCUUUUGUCGGGGAGCAAAAGACGCCACGCGUGGCGUUCCGAGAGUACGCGAAGAAAAAGCAUCGGCAAACACCGCCCCAGCAGCCGCGGAAACACGGGGGAUGCGAGGUUUAUCCGGAUUUAUGGGGUUAAAGGGGAGCGCAGGCGGAAGAUAAAGUCAGCGGUAAAAUUGAGAGGCUCAACCUCUACGAGCCGUUGAAACUGGUUGUCUUGAGUGAGUGAGAGGUAUGCGGAAUGCGUGGUGUAGCGGUGAAAUGCAUAGAUAUCACGCAGAACUCCGAUUGCGAAGGCAGCAUACCGGCGCUCAACUGACGCUCAUGCACGAAAGUGUGGGUAUCGAACAGGAUUAGAUACCCGGGUAGUC
rnacentral:rRNA from 1 species